UACGAAGGGGGCUAGCGUUGCUCGGAAUCACUGGGCGUAAAGCGCACGUAGGCGGAUUGCUAAGUCAGGGGUGAAAUCCUGGAGCUCAACUCCAGAACUGCCUUUGAUACUGGCGAUCUCGAGUUCGGGAGAGGUGAGUGGAACUGCGAGUGUAGAGGUGAAAUUCGUAGAUAUUCGCAAGAACACCAGUGGCGAAGGCGGCUCACUGGCCCGA
rnacentral:rRNA from 1 species